UACGUAGGGUGCAAGCGUUGUCCGGAAUUAUUGGGCGUAAAGAGCUCGUAGGCGGCCUGCUAAGUCGAACGUGAAAUCCCCGGGCUCAACCCGGGAACUGCGUCCGAUACUGGCAGGCUUGAAUCCGGGAGAGGGAUGUGGAAUUCCAGGUGUAGCGGUGAAAUGCGUAGAUAUCUGGAGGAACACCGGUGGCGAAGGCGGCAUCCUGGACCGGCAUUGACGCUGAGGCGCGAAAGCGUGGGGAGCGAACAGG
rnacentral:rRNA from 1 species